GGACCAGCCUGUCGGUCGUGCCUCGGUACGCACUGGCAUUAUUGAUUUCUCCCUUCUGAAGAACCACGAUGUCAUUAAUUUGGUGUCGUGGGGAAUCAGGACUGUUACUUUGAAAAAAUUAGAGUGUUUAAAGCAGGCUCACGCUUGAAUACAUUAGCAUGGAAUAAUGAAAUAGGACGUUUGAUUCUAUUUUGUUGGUUUCUAGGAUUGACGUA
rnacentral:rRNA from 1 species